CCAUGUGAACAUCACUUGGACAUGGGUUAGUCGAUCCUAAGAGAUGGGGAAUCCUUGUAUCAAGGGUGCACUCUGCAUGAACAUUGAAAGAGAAUUGGGUUAAUAUUCCCAAAUCGGGACAUGGUGGUGGAUGACAAUGUUAGGAAAUCUGGAGAUGUCAUUGGGGGCCUAGGAAGAGUUAUCUUUUCUUUUUAACGACUUCCCCACCCUGAAAUCAGUUCAACCGGAGAUAGGGUCCAACAUCUGGAAGAGAACCACAUGUCUUGUGGUGUUUGGUGCCCCCUCGAUGACCAUUUAAAAUAUGGAGAACCGAGUACCAUCCAUGCCCACUCGUACUCAUAUUUGCCUCCUU
rfam:Picea glauca, whole genome shotgun sequence.